AUUGAACGCUGGCGGCAGGCCUAACACAUGCAAGUCGAGCGGAUGAAGAGAGCUUGCUCUCUGAUUUAGCGGCGGACGGGUGAGUAAUGCCUAGGAAUCUGCCUGGUAGUGGGGGAUAACGUUCCGAAAGGAACGCUAAUACCGCAUACGUCCUACGGGAGAAAGCAGGGGACCUUCGGGCCUUGCGCUAUCAGAUGAGCCUAGGUCGGAUUAGCUAGUUGGUGAGGUAAUGGCUCACCAAGGCGACGAUCCGUAACUGGUCUGAGAGGAUGAUCAGUCACACUGGAACUGAGACACGGUCCAGACUCCUACGGGAGGCAGCAGUGGGGAAUAUUGGACAAUGGGCGAAAGCCUGAUCCAGCCAUGCCGCGUGUGUGAAGAAGGUCUUCGGAUUGUAAAGCACUUUAAGUUGGGAGGAGGGGCAUUAACCUAAUACGUUAGUGUUUCGACGUUACCAACAGAAUAAGCACCGGCUAACUUCGUGCCAGCAGCCGCCGUAAAAC
rnacentral:rRNA from 1 species